GAAACGCAGUGAGCACACCAGCAGGCUUCUGUCCCCAGCCAGGGCCCGUUCCUCUGGGUGGCCCUGGCUCGGGCCUCCGGUGGAGCCUCCUGCUCUGCGGAUCUUCUGGUUUCUCAUCUGCCCUCCCCUGAGCCCUGGGAGGACGGCGCUCACCGACACACUGGAGCUGCGCAGUUUCAGGCCACUGUUCCCAGACUUGCACUGACUCCAUGAUGAUCAACUCUGCCCAGGAAGUUGUCUCAGAGGGUCACCAGGAAGUGCACGGUCCAGGUGGGCAUUGGGUCAUCCCAGCCCCAGAAAGGCUUCAGCAUCAGAGGGCUGCAAAAAUCUGUGUCCCCUGGCCCCCACGGGACACAGUUCUGCAGAUACAGGGCUUCCCAGCAGGGCCCCAGUUCCAGCCCUCCUUGCUUCCAGGCACAGGCACAAGCUUCUUCUCAAAAAGACUGUGAGUGGAAGGGAAGUGGGCCACUUCCGGGCUGAGGUUUCUGAGAUAGGGCUGGGCCAUCCCCCUGGCCACUUUCCUUCUUUGCCAGCUGCACACAGAGGGCUCUGACUCUCCCUGAACAGCAGAGCCACAGGGGUCCCUGAGUCAGCCAGGAAGAGGGCCACCUGCCCACCAGAAGCACCACAUGGAGCUGUUCAGGAAGCAAGAAUUAACGGUGUUACAUGAAGCCACUGAAAUGCGGAGGUUUUGCUUGUUAGAUGCUAUUAUAAGUUCCCUAAUAUGGCAUGUUAUAAAUCAUCUCUGGCUGCCUCUGAAUACAGUGUGUUUUCUAAACCAAAA
ensembl:lncRNA novel transcript